rnacentral:rRNA from 1 species
AGAGUUUGAUCCUGGCUCAGGAUGAUUUCUAGCGACAGGCUUAACACAUGCAAGUCGAGGGGCAGCGGGGUAGGAAGCUUGCUUUCUGCCGCCGGCGACCGGCGCACGGGUGAGUAACACGUAUGCAACCUGGCCGUGACAGAUGGAUAACCGGGAGAAAUCCCGCCUAAUACAACAUAAUGCCGGGAGGGGACAUCCCCUGCCGGCCAAAGGGGGCGACCCCGGUCACGGAUGGGCAUGCGGCGCAUUAGGUAGUUGGUGGGGCAACGGCCCACCAAGCCGACGAUGCGUAGGGGUUCUGAGAGGAAGGUCCCCCACAUUGGAACUGAGACACGGUCCAAACUCCUACGGGAGGCAGCAGUGAGGAAUAUUGGUCAAUGGCCGGAAGGCUGAACCAGCCAAGUCGCGUGAGGGAAUAAGGCCCUACGGGUCGUAAACCUCUUUUGCCAGGGAGCAAUGCCGUCCACGUGUGGACGGAAGGAGAGUACCUGGAGAAAAAGCAUCGGCUAACUCCGUGCCAGCAGCCGCGGUAAUACGGAGGAUGCGAGCGUUAUCCGGAUUUAUUGGGUUUAAAGGGUGCGUAGGCGGCCUGCCAAGUCAGCGGUAAAAUUGCGGGGCUCAACCCCGUACAGCCGUUGAAACUGCCGGGCUCGAGUGGGCGAGAAGUAUGCGGAAUGCGUGGUGUAGCGGUGAAGUGCAUAGAUAUCACGCAGAACCCCGAUUGCGAAGGCAGCAUACCGGCGCCCGACUGACGCUGAGGCACGAAAGUGCGGGGAUCAAACAGGAUUAGAUACCCUGGUAGUCCGCACAGUAAAC